rnacentral:rRNA from 1 species
GAGAGUUUGAUCCUGGCUCAGGAUGAACGCUAGCUACAGGCUUAACACAUGCAAGUCGAGGGGCAGCAUGGUCUUAGCUUGCUAAGGCCGAUGGCGACCGGCGCACGGGUGAGUAACACGUAUCCAACCUGCCGUCUACUCUUGGACAGCCUUCUGAAAGGAAGAUUAAUACAAGAUGGCAUCAUGAGUCCGCAUGUUCACAUGAUUAAAGGUAUUCCGGUAGACGAUGGGGAUGCGUUCCAUUAGAUAGUAGGCGGGGUAACGGCCCACCUAGUCUUCGAUGGAUAGGGGUUCUGAGAGGAAGGUCCCCCACAUUGGAACUGAGACACGGUCCAAACUCCUACGGGAGGCAGCAGUGAGGAAUAUUGGUCAAUGGGCGAGAGCCUGAACCAGCCAAGUAGCGUGAAGGAUGACUGCCCUAUGGGUUGUAAACUUCUUUUAUAAAGGAAUAAAGUCGGGUAUGGAUACCCGUUUGCAUGUACUUUAUGAAUAAGGAUCGGCUAACUCCGUGCCAGCAGCCGCGGUAAUACGGAGGAUCCGAGCGUUAUCCGGAUUUAUUGGGUUUAAAGGGAGCGUAGAUGGAUGUUUAAGUCAGUUGUGAAAGUUUGCGGCUCAACCGUAAAAUUGCAGUUGAUACUGGAUAUCUUGAGUGCAGUUGAGGCAGGCGGAAUUCGUGGUGUAGCGGUGAAAUGCUUAGAUAUCACGAAGAACUCCGAUUGCGAAGGCAGCCUGCUGAGCUGCAACUGACAUUGAGGCUCGAAAGUGUGGGUAUCAAACAGGAUUAGAUACCCUGGUAGUCCACACGGUAAACGAUGAAUACUCGCUGUUUGCGAUAUACUGCAAGCGGCCAAGCGAAAGCGUUAAGUAUUCCACCUGGGGAGUACGCCGGCAACGGUGAAACUCAAAGGAAUUGACGGGGGCCCGCACAAGCGGAGGAACAUGUGGUUUAAUUCGAUGAUACGCGAGGAACCUUACCCGGGCUUAAAUUGCAGAUGAAUUACGGUGAAAGCCGUAAGCCGCAAGGCAUCUGUGAAGGUGCUGCAUGGUUGUCGUCAGCUCGUGCCGUGAGGUGUCGGCUUAAGUGCCAUAACGAGCGCAACCCUUGUUGUCAGUUACUAACAGGUUCCGCUGAGGACUCUGACAAGACUGCCAUCGUAAGAUGUGAGGAAGGUGGGGAUGACGUCAAAUCAGCACGGUCCUUACGUCCGGGGCUACACACGUGUUACAAUGGGGGGUACAGAGGGCCGCUACCACGCGAGUGGAUGCCAAUCCCCAAAACCUCUCUCAGUUCGGACUGGAGUCUGCAACCCGACUCCACGAAGCUGGAUUCGCUAGUAAUCGCGCAUCAGCCACGGCGCGGUGAAUACGUUCCCGGGCCUUGUACACACCGCCCGUCAAGCCAUGGGAGCCGGGGGUACCUGAAGUGCGUAACCGCGAGGAGCGCCCUAGGGUAAAACUGGUGACUGGGGCUAAGUCGUAACAAGGUAGCCG